CCCAGACUCCUACGGGAGGCAGCAGUGAGGAAUAUUGGUCAAUGGGAGAGAUCCUGAACCAGCCAAGCCGCGUGAGGGAAGACGGCCCUAUGGGUUGUAAACCUCUUUUGUCAGGGAACAAAGGCGGGGACUAGUCCCCGGAUGAGGGUACCUGAAGAAAAAGCAUCGGCUAACUCCGUGCCAGCAGCCGCGGUAAUACGGAGGAUGCGAGCGUUAUCCGGAUUUAUUGGGUUUAAAGGGUGCGCAGGCGGAAUGUCAAGUCAGCGGUAAAAUUUCGGGGCUCAACCCCGUCGUGCCGUUGAAACUGGCAGUCUCGAGUUGGAGAGAAGUAUGCGGAAUGCGCGGUGUAGCGGUGAAAUGCAUAGAUAUCGCGCAGAACUCCGAUUGCGAAGGCAGCAUGCCGGCUCCACACUGACGCUGAGGCACGAAAGCGUGGGUAUCGAACAGGAUUAGAUACCCCCGUAC
rnacentral:rRNA from 1 species